GGACCUGACUGCUAUCGGAUUGAUACUAAGCCAUGCGAGUCAUUGUAGUAAUACAAGGCAGACGGCUCAGUAACGCGUAGUCAACCUACCCUAUGGACGGGGAUAACCUCGGGAAACUGAGAAUAAUACCCGAUAGAACAUUAUGCCUGGAAUGGUUUAUGUUUCAAAUAAUUUAUUGCCGUAGGAUGGGACUGCGGCCUAUCAGUUUGUUGGUGAGGUAAUGGCCCACCAAGACUAUUACAGGUACGGGCUCUGAGAGGAGUAGCCCGGAGAUGGGUACUGAGACACGGACCCAGGCCCUAUGGGGCGCAGCAGGCGAGAAAACUUUGCAAUGUGCGAAAGCACGACAAGGUUAAUCCGAGUGGUUUCUGCUAAAGGAACCUUUUGUCAGUCCUAGAAACACUGGUGAAUAAGGGGUGGGCAAGUUCUGGUGUCAGCC
rnacentral:rRNA from 1 species